rnacentral:rRNA from 1 species
CAGCCACCCUUUAAAGAGUGCGUAACAGCUCACUGGUCGAGGACUUUUGCGCCGAGAAUGUAGGGGGCUAAGCAUACUGCCGAAGCUGCGGGAUAUGUGCAAGAGUGUAUAUAUCGGUAGGGGAGCGUUCCAUACGGGGCGAAGCAGAGCCGCGAGGUCAUGUGGACUGUAUGGAAGUGAGAAUGCUGGCAUGAGUAACGCGAAGUGCGUGAGAAACGUACUCACCGGAAGCCCAAGGGUUCCUGGGGAAGGUUCAUCCGCCCAGGGUUAGGCGGGACCUAAGGCGAGGCCGAGAGGCGUAGUCGAUGGAUAGCAGGUAGAUAUUCCUGUCCCAGCCAAUGAGCGUUAAUACCGAAGGGGUGACACAGAAAGCUAGGUGAUCCGGGUGAUGGAAGUCCCGGUCCAAGGGUGUAGGGAGUUUCCGCAGGCAAAUCCGCGGGAAUAAUUCUGAGACCUGAUGGGGAGGCCCUACGGGGUCGAAGUCAUUGAAGCUCGGCUGUCGAGAAAAGCCUCUAGGGAGUUUGUUGGUUGCUCGUACCCGAAACCGACACAGGUGGGCUAGCUGAGGAAGCUAAGGUGAGCGGGAAAACCCUCGUUAAGGAACUCUGCAAGUUGACCCCGUAACUUCGGGAGAAGGGGUGCCACUCUGGUGAAAUAUAAUCAUAUGGAGCUAAGGGUGGUCGCAGAAACCAGGCUCAGGCGACUGUUUACUAAAAACACAGGUCUCUGCAUAAGGCGUAAGCCGAAGUAUAGGGACUGACACCUGCCCGGUGCUGGAAGGUUAAAUGGAGAGGUUAGCGUAAGCGACGCUUUGAAAUGAAGCCCCAGUAAACGGCGGCCGUAACUAUAACGGUCCUAAGGUAGCGAAAUUCCUUGUCGGGUAAGUUCCGACCUGCACGAAUGGUGUAACGAUCUGAGCACUGUCUCAACGAGGGACCCGGUGAAAUUGUGGUACUGGUAAAGACGCCAGUUACCUGUGGUGGGACGGAAAGACCCCGUGGAGCUUUACUGUAGCCUGAUAUUGGAUUUUGGUCUGUCAUGUACAGGAUAGGUGGGAGGCAUUGAACGCAGGGCGUCAGCUUUGCGGGAGCCGUUGUUGGGAUACCACCCUUGACAUGCUGAAGUUCUAACUGUCGAGUCUGAAUCGGCUGGCAGGACAUUGUCAGGUGGGCAGUUUGACUGGGGCGGUCGCCUCCUAAAGAGUAACGGAGGCGCGCAAAGGUCACCUCAGGGCGUAUGGAAACCGCCCAUAGAGAGCGCAAAGGUAUAAGGUGGCUUGACUGUGAGAGAGACAUCUCGAGCAGGAACGAAAGUUGGUCUUAGUGAUCCGGCGGUACCGAGUGGAAGGGCCGUCGCUCAACGGAUAAAAGCUACCCCGGGGAUAACAGGCUGAUCUUGCCCGAGAGUUCCUAUCGACGGCAAGGUUUGGCACCUCGAUGUCGGCUCGUCGCAUCCUGGGGCUGAAGCAGGUCCCAAGGGUUGGUCUGUUCGCCCAUUAAAGCGGUACGUGAGCUGGGUU